rnacentral:lncRNA from 1 species
AUGACCUUUUCCUGUCCCUCUGGCUUGCUUCAAAAUCCACCACUUAGCGAGGCUGCCACGAGGGCAGCCAGGUCCCUGUCACCCAGCCUGGUUCAGGGCCAGUCCCUGGGGACAAGGCAGGCACUGGCAUCCAUGGAAAUGGCUUGGAAAUGGGGCUCAGCUGUCCCAGCAGCUCAGCUCUGGCUGCAGCAUGGCAUGGAGGGAGGGAAUUGUCAUCCCAAAGCCCCUGUGGCUGCUCCAGGGGUGCUCAGACCCCUGCAGGAUGUGUCUCAGGUAGAAAAAUGGGGGAAACCCCCAGUUAUCAGCCCCUGGUACUUUUUGGGGACUGGAUUUUUGCCUGAUUUUGAGGUGACAGAGCAGUCCCAGCUCAGCUCUACAUUCCCAGUGCUGCAGGAAUGCUGGGGGUUCACAUCCUGCAUCUUGGAAAAUCCAAGUCCUGGAGCUGGGCUGAAAGCCCCGUUCCCUCAUCCCAGUUUGGAGUCCCUCAUCCAUGCUGGUGUCACCCCUUUCCCAAAGAUUUUGAGGAGAUUUGGGGUUUGCCCCCCUUCCCCAGGGCUGGGAUCAGAUGCUGGAUGUGGGAAGCAGGUCCUGGAUCGAUCCUACAGGUCCUGGAUCAAUCCUACAGGUCCUGGAUCAAUCCUGGAGGUCCUGGAUCAAUCCUGCAUCCCCUGGAUCGAUCCUGCAGUUGCUGGAUCAAUCUUGCAGGUCUUGGAUCGAUCCUACAGGUCCUGGAUCAAUCCUACAGGUCCUGGAUCAAUCCUGGAGGUCCUGGAUCAAUCCUGCAUCCCCUGGAUCAAUCCUGCAUCCCCUGGAUCGAUCCUGCAGUUGCUGGAUCAAUCUUGCAGGUCUUGGAUCGAUCCUACAGGUCCUGGAUCGAUCCUGGAGGUUCUGGAUCAAUCCUGCAGGUCCUGGAUCAAUCCUGCAUCCCCUGAGGGCACAGGGAGUGUCUCUGAUCCUGCUGGAGUCAGGGAGCUCCACCUCCCGGCAGGCGCCACCUCCCUCAGGGACACUAUAAAGGACAAGCUGUCCCCUGUGCCCUGGCCAGUGCCAGCCUGGAGAGACCUCGGAGCCAGGACCCUGCAGGUGGAUGCUGUGCUGAUUGCUGAAGGCAGCGAGGCCCCAGAUCUGCCCCAAGGACGGGCUUGGCCACGAGCCAGAUCCCAUGGUUGGAUCUGAGUUCAGAAGAUCCUCCAGCAGCCCCAUCCUCAGCCCCCAGUCACAUCCCCUGGAUCUGGGGACAGAAGAGCCUCCAAAAUCCCCUUCCUGAGCCCCAGCCAGAUCUCCUGGAUCUGGGGACAGAAGGUGCCGCAGCACCCCCAUCCUGAGCCCCAGCCAGACCCCCUGGAGCCCCCAGGAGCCGCCCCCAGUGCCCAGGACGAGGCCACCACAGUGCACGAGGGCUUUUAUUGGGUCAGGUAUGUACAGAGCCGAGCUGGGGGGUCUGUCAGGGUAAGGGGGGGCUCCCCACGCCCUGGCUCAGAGCAGGGGGUGCUUGCCCUGCUGCUGCUGCUGCUGCUGCUGCCGGUUCGCCAAGUGCAUGA